CGGUAGAUUGAGAGCUUUGCCUUCUGGGUCAGCUCCCUUUUCGUCACAACUGUGUGGUGAAGCGCAUGCAACACCACACCCACUGCUCCGACUCUCCAGUCAAUCGCAUGCCCCAUCAUCCCCUCACUCAUGAACAAAACCCAGAGGUACUUGAACUCCUUCACUUGGAGCAAGGACUCAUUCCCCGCCCGGAGUAGGCAAUCCACCACUUUCCUACUGAGAACCAUGGCCUCGGAUUUAGAGAAGAUGCUGUUGGACCAGAUUGGGAGCUCAGUGCUGUGAGGGAGUGUUGGUGUUUAUAUUGCGAGCACAAGAACUUUGGACUACAGGGAGAAGUUUUUCUGGGUCAGAGCAGGGAAUGCUGGGAAAAUGGCACCAGAAGCAGAGCCAGACAAGCGAGCAAUGGAAAACAGGGAUCAGCAGUCUCUACAGACAUCAUGACAGAGGCAAAGCGAUUGGGAGAAUUCAUUGAUGGAGUAAGGCAGAACACAGUCACGCCUGGAAGUCUAACACCUGGUCCACUGCCUGAGCAGCGUGUGAUGGAUGUGUUGCUGAACUGCUGUGGCUCACAUGAAAGAUGGCACUGAUAUGGAGAGGACCUGAGGAAAGCAGAGCUGGUCAGAUUUCCAAAUGAAACAUGAUCCUGCACUGACAUGGGAAUAACCAUCCAAAUAGAGUGAUGUCAUGUUCCAACUUCGAAAGACUAUCUCAAAUUUGUGUUGUCUUUUGAGUUAGUUGUGGCUAAACAGUCAGAAGUUUCUAUUAAUCAGACCCCAUCAAUGCAAGAGUAUGCAAUCACAGUGAAAUCACUCUCUCCCCCCGAUGUGAAAAAAAAAAAAAAAAAAAGUUUU